GGGGAGACUGUAUGGGGGGUGCAAGGGGCAGGGGACCCCAGGGGAGACUGUGGGGGAAGAGCAGGCCCCACAGCAGGUGGGGCUGCAAGAGGCUAUCCAUGUGGGGUGUGGCCCCUUCCUGCAGGGGGAAGAGCUGCUUCCUCAGUGGGGCUGGGCUCAAGGGCAUGUUUCCUCACCACACACAUUGGGGAGCAGCACUGGCGGAGGGCAGAGAGAUGCUGUGGGCGUUCCCUAUACUGAGGUGUAGGGCUGGUAGGAAGGGCAGGAAGAUGUGAGGCAGCUGUGCUAGAGCCCCACCCUGGGCUUGAAACCCCUGUCUUGUCCCACCCUGCCCCCACAGCACAGCAAGUGGGUGGCAUUUAUGGUUUUGAUUCUCGGACUGAUUCAUUCAUUUCAAAGCCAGCAGUCAGGGAGCCUGGACAUCUGGGUUCUUUCUGGGCUUUGGGGAGCAGUGAGGCCUGGUGGGUUGGAGUUGGGGGUGAAGGGAGCCAAAGCCCUUUUGUGGUUGGUUUCAUCACCUGGGAAAGCUGCUCUGUUAGUAAUGGAUUCUUGUUUGCUGCCAGGGACCUCUUCUGAUCAGAUACUUCACACAGGAGACAUCCUGCUCAAGGGGUUCAUCCGGGAGCGAGUCCAGCGCUGUGGGGACUCGCAGGCGGUAGAGCUGGGCCGGGAGGUCCUGGGGGGCCCUGAGGCUUCACUCUGCAGCAAUGACACCAAGCGCCUCAGCGAGUGCCUGCGGCGCAUCGGGGAUGAGCUGGACAGCAACACAGACCUGCAGAGGAUGAUCGAGCAGGUGGGCUCACAGCCCCCCAAGGAGGUCUUCUUCCGUGUGGCCACCGAGAUGUUCUCCGAUGGGACCUUCAACUGGGGUCGGGUCGUGGCCCUCUUCUACUUCGCCUGCAAGCUGGUCCUCAAGUCUUGCCAGGCCCCCGCUGCCCCUGACGCGUGUCUCUCUGCCAGGCGCUGUGCACGAAGGUCCCUGAGCUGGUGCGCACCAUCCUAGGCUGGACCAUGGAGUACCUGCGCGAGCAUGUUUUGGUCUGGAUUCAGGCCCAGGGCGGCUGGGAAGGCCUGCUCUCCACCUUGGGCACUCCCACCUGGCAGACCAUCACCAUCUUCGCUGCUGGCGUCCUCACCGCCUCGCUCACCAUCUGGAAGAUGUCCUAGACCCCGGGGCCGGCUGGUCCCUUCCCCUGCCCUGCUCCAGCUGGGCUGCGCUGGCUGGGGUGCCUGGGGCCUGGCCGCUCCUCACAGUGGACUCAGGGGGUGAAUACUUUUGCAAUACUCAUCUUCAAGCGGGAUUUUUUUUAAACCCCUCCUUUCACCCCCUCCUGGUGCCUUUUUUUUGGUUCAUUUUUUUUUUAAUACGGAGACUUUCGGGGAACAUGUACUUUGGUUUCUCCUUUGGAUCCCCACCCCGCCAUCCAUCCCCGAUGUGCCUGGCUCUGGGGUGGAGUGCUGCUGGCUCGUGAGACAGAAUGAGCAGUCCAGCCAAGACUCUAUCCCACCCGGGAGGUCUGCUCCUCACAGAGAUGGCAUCACAUGGACCCAGAACUGCUUGUGUGGGAGGCCUCCUGCUGCCCUCCCCAUCCCGCCCUGAAGCCCAGCCGGCAUCAUGGGGUUGCCCCAGCAUUUGACAACUCUCCCCCCACCCUAAGCAGUGCAUUGGGGAUUUGCAGGCUGGCUCCAGACCUGGUGUUUGGGGGGUGCAGCAUGGUGGGGGAGGGAUUCGUGGGGUUUACUCUGCCUUUCCCCCCCACCCAGACAAUCUUGGGUGCCUUCUGCCCCACCAUCACUGUGAAUUGCCUGCUGGAAGAGAGAUCUUAUGCCUCCCAUGCAGGGGAUGAACCCCCACCCCUGGCUAGCAUCAUCAGCUCCCCCUGCUUGUGAGGGGCAUAGCUUCUUCCCUGCUUUUGUGGAGGGGGUCAUUCAACCCCUCCACCAGCAUCUGGGCACCCCUACUCUGAGCCAUGUACUGUAAUAGGGGGCUGGGGUGACCCCUUUGCCCCUGGGUGGGGGUCACCAGGUCCCCCUGCACCUUCCUCCUCUGACUGUAUUACUACUGUGUGUUCUCAGGGGAUAGGGGCAGAUCAUAUGACAGCCCCUUCCCUACCCCCAAAUUUCCUCAGUGGUCUCAGCCACAGGGCCUUGUGUCUGAGGGGGGUGGGGGGGAAGCUCUGUCCCCAAGCAGCCCCAUUCUUGAUGUGGCAAUGGGGUGGGCCGUGGCUGGUGCUAAGAAGGGUUGUCAGGGGCUGAAGUGAUGCCCCAUAGUCUCCCCCACCCCCUGAGAGGUGGGAAGGGGUAUCAGAAGGGAUCCCCUGCUAGCAGGGCUUACUGGCACUGGGGGGAUCCCUAACUCAGGGAUCAAGGGGGCUCAGUGGGGGUGGGAGCAGGGAUCCAGUGGGUCUGCCAAUGAAUUUAAUAACUCUUGGGUGGAUCUGUACUUCAGUGUGGGGGAGAGGGUGGACAUAGGGAGUGUGUGAUGUCAUGGGCAUGGGAGACGAUGUCACACCAAGCUGGCAUGAGUAUGUGAUGUCACGGGUGCAGGGAGGUGGUGUCACACAGAAAGGGGGGAGUCUGAUGUCACAGGUGCAGGGGAAGCGAUGUCAUGGAUAGGGGAAGAGCAGUGCUGUCAUGGGUAGGCAGGAUAGCUGCUUUUGGGAAGGGCAUGCUGGUGACAGUGGGAGGAAAUGCUGUCAUAAAGCAGUUUUGCACCCACCCUGAUCCUUGCCCCUUCCCCCCGCUUUGUGCCUGGUGCCCUACCUGGGGGGCUGAAGGAGGGGGUGGGGGGCAGUGAGAGACCUGGGCUCCCCAGCCCCAUGGAUGUGCCAGGCACCUCCACCUGGGCAUGGCCUUGCUGGGCACUUUGUAACGGUUGGGGCCGAGGGAAAAGGGAGCUUGAAAAUAAACCCACUGGACCCAA